rnacentral:piRNA from 1 species
UAGCCAAACAAGAGCCAGAGGGCCUGAGA